GACGAACGCUGGCGGCGUGCCUAAUACAUGCAAGUAGAACGCUGAAGAGAGGAGCUUGCUCUUCUUGGAUGAGUUGCGAACGGGUGAGUAACGCGUAGGUAACCUGCCUUGUAGCGGGGGAUAACUAUUGGAAACGAUAGCUAAUACCGCAUAACAAUAGGUGACACAUGUCAUUUAUUUGAAAGGGGCAAUUGCUCCACUACAAGAUGGACCUGCGUUGUAUUAGCUAGUAGGUGAGGUAACGGCUCACCUAGGCGACGAUACAUAGCCGACCUGAGAGGGUGAUCGGCCACACUGGGACUGAGACACGGCCCAGACUCCUACGGGAGGCAGCAGUAGGGAAUCUUCGGCAAUGGGGGCAACCCUGACCGAGCAACGCCGCGUGAGUGAAGAAGGUUUUCGGAUCGUAAAGCUCUGUUGUAAGUCAAGAACGAGUGUGAGAGUGGAAAGUUCACACUGUGACGGUAGCUUACCAGAAAGGGACGGCUAACUACGUGCCAGCAGCCGCGGUAAUACGUAGGUCCCGAGCGUUGUCCGGAUUUAUUGGGCGUAAAGCGAGCGCAGGCGGUUUGAUAAGUCUGAAGUUAAAGGCUGUGGCUCAACUAUAGUUCGCUUUGGAAACUGUCAAACUUGAGUGCAGAAGGGGAGAGUGGAAUUCCAUGUGUAGCGGUGAAAUGCGUAGAUAUAUGGAGGAACACCGGUGGCGAAAGCGGCUCUCUGGUCUGUAACUGACGCUGAGGCUCGAAAGCGUGGGGAGCGAACAGGAUUAGAUACCCUGGUAGUCCACGCCGUAAACGAUGAGUGCUAGGUGUUGGAUCCUUUCCGGGAUUCAGUGCCGCAGCUAACGCAUUAAGCACUCCGCCUGGGGAGUACGACCGCAAGGUUGAAACUCAAAGGAAUUGACGGGGGCCCGCACAAGCGGUGGAGCAUGUGGUUUAAUUCGAAGCAACGCGAAGAACCUUACCAGGUCUUGACAUCCCGAUGCUAUUUCUAGAGAUAGAAAGUUACUUCGGUACAUCGGUGACAGGUGGUGCAUGGUUGUCGUCAGCUCGUGUCGUGAGAUGUUGGGUUAAGUCCCGCAACGAGCGCAACCCCUAUUGUUAGUUGCCAUCAUUCAGUUGGGCACUCUAGCGAGACUGCCGGUAAUAAACCGGAGGAAGGUGGGGAUGACGUCAAAUCAUCAUGCCCCUUAUGACCUGGGCUACACACGUGCUACAAUGGUUGGUACAACGAGUUGCGAGUCGGUGACGGCAAGCUAAUCUCUUAAAGCCAAUCUCAGUUCGGAUUGUAGGCUGCAACUCGCCUACAUGAAGUCGGAAUCGCUAGUAAUCGCGGAUCAGCACGCCGCGGUGAAUACGUUCCCGGGCCU
rnacentral:rRNA from 1 species